UCAUGGUGGUGUGCACCUGUACUCCCAGCUACUUAGGAGGUUGAGGCAGGAGAAUCGUUUGAGCCCAGGCAUUCUGUGCUAUACUGUGCCUGUGUUGUGUGGAUUGAGUGCCUGCAGUAAGUUUGGCAUCAAUACGGUGACAUCCCAAGAGCUGGGGACCGCCAGGGUGCCUAAGGAGGAGUGAGCCAGCUCAGGUCAGAAACAAAGCAGAUCAAAACUCUCAUGCUGACCAGUAGUGGGAUCAUGCCUGUGAAUAGCCACUGCACUCCAACCUGGACAACAUAGCAAGACUUUGUCU
rnacentral:SRP_RNA from 10 species